rnacentral:rRNA from 1 species
GACGAACGCUGGCGGCGUGCUUAACACAUGCAAGUCGAACGGGAUUUAGUAGACAGAAGCCUCGGCUAAAGAUUACUAAUGAGAGUGGCGAACGGGUGAGUAACGCGUGAGCAACCUGCCUAUGACAGUGGGAUGGCCUCGGGAAACCGGGAUUAAUACCGCAUAAAAUCGUAGAAACACAUGUUUCAACGGUCAAAGAUUUAUCGGUCAUAGAUGGGCUCGCGUCUGAUUAGCUAGUUGGUGAGAUAACAGCCCACCAAGGCGACGAUCAGUAGCCGGUCUGAGAGGAUGAACGGCCACAUUGGAACUGAGACACGGUCCAAACUCCUACGGGAGGCAGCAGUGGGGAAUAUUGCACAAUGGGGGAAACCCUGAUGCAGCGACGCCGCGUGAACGAAGAAGGUAUUCGUAUCGUAAAGUUCUGUCCUAUGGGAAGAUAAUGACAGUACCAUAGAAGAAAGCUCCGGCUAAAUACGUG